CAGACCACAUACCCUUGGUUGCUAACUUUUAUCUUCGACUUAGAAAAACAGAUCGGCAUUAUGAUGACCGAAGUAUACAAGGAGAAAAAAGUAACUAAAUGAGAUCUCGACGCUUCAAUAACAAAAUUUUGAUACGACCUCAUGAAAAUACAAGUUUAUAGUUUUUUAAAUUAUUCAAUUAUACACAAAACACAAAAGUUGAAGAUUGUUCUCAACUUAUGUCAAAGGUUGAAAUUAUUAUAGUGAUCACAUUGAAGUUUUGAGUAAAUAUCUCUUGGGAAAUGACACCAACAAUAUCAUUCUGUGCUGUGAUAGAAGAGUGCUAAAAACGGAAUAGGAAUAAUUUAAUAAAUUUUGUUUGAAGUUGCAUGAAUUUAGUUACUAUUUUCCAAUUUCUGUAGAGUGUAUAAUAAAUAAGGUUUCUCGAUCUAUUCCGAGCUGCGAUGUAUUAACACACUUUUUUGAUGUAUUUUACACGUCGUGUCAAACAGUCAAAAUGAACGCUUGCCGUUCGAAAGUACUCCAGUAAGUAAGUAAAAGUGAAAAAUUGCUUAUUCACUUAGAAUAAUUGACUGCAUGUCGUGUAGAAUACAUCAAAAAGUGUGUAAAUAAAGAUUCUCAUUUUACUUGAUUAUUUGUGUGUUGAAGUAUGAAUUCAGUUAGGCUUACUGUAUCGGAAAUCUUGUUUGAAUCUCUGUAAAGUGUAUAAUAAAUCUACUGUUCAAAUUUACAA